AGCAGCCGCGGUAAUUCCAGCUCCAAUAGCGUAUAUUAAAGUUGUUGCAGUUAAAAAGCUCGUAGUUGAAUUUCGGGGUUCUACCGUUGGUCGGGCUAUUGUUUGUACUGGCGUGUAGAAUUUCUACCUUCUGGGGAACUAUCAUGUUAUUAAUUUAGCGUGGUAGGAAACCAGGACCUUUACCUUGAAAAAUUAGAGUGUUCAAAGCAGGCUUAUGUCUGAAUACAUUAGCAUGGAAUAAUAAAAUAGGACGGUGGUCCUGUUUUGUUGGUUUCUGAAUCACCGUAAUGAUUAAUAGGGAUAGUUGGGGGCAUUAGUAUUCAAUUGUCAGAGGUGAAAUUCUUGGAUUUAUUGAAGACUAACUACUGCGAAAGCAUUUGCCAAGGAUGUUUUCAUUAAUCAAGAACGAAAGUUAGGGGAUCGAAGACGAUCAGAUACCGUCGUAGUCUU
rnacentral:rRNA from 1 species